GAUAGCUGGGUAGACUGAGAGUCAAUGUUUUGAGUUGGACUUUGAAUUUUGAAAUUCGAAUCAAUUAGUGAGUCUCAUUUCGAGAACAAAAGAAGAAAAAACUCUGCGUAUUUUCCAAAGAUAGGUUUUGCGCGUUAGAAAAAAUUAAAAAAAGGAUACGAUUCUUCUUCUGCUACAUUUUCUUUGAAAUCGCGUUCUGAUUAGGUGGUUACAGUUACAGUCACAAAGAAAAGUGUGUGUGUGUGUGAAGCGUUGUGUUGUGUUAUUGUAAUAGUGGCUGUUAUGGUUUGGUACGAAGCAAAGAGAUUGUUGUUGAAACUGUAUUGUUGAGAAAGUGUGAUUUGACGGUGCCAUCUCUCCUGCGACAGUUACUCCGAUGAGUUACGCGAAUGGCUCGCCGCACCGGCCGCCGCCUCCGGAUACUGACUUGGAGGCGGGGCCUCCAACAGCACGCUCCGGCGACUUCGACGACGGCGAUGUCUCUGAUCCGUUUGACAUCACCAGGACUAAGAACGCCUCGAUUGAGCGACUCAGACGUUGGAGGCAAGCAGCACUGGUGCUUAAUGCUUCUCGUCGAUUUCGUUACACCUUGGACUUGAAAAAACAAGAAGAGAAGACACAAAUAUUGAGAAAGAUUAGAGCUCAUGCACAAGCUAUUAGGGCAGCAUAUCUUUUCAAAGCAGCCGGGGAUGGUCAAGUGAUUGAAACCACAAAGCCUCCUGCGGCCUCUGCUGGUGAAUUUCCAAUUGGACAAGAGCAACUUGCUUCAGUUUCAAGGGAGCAUGAUACCGUUGCUCUUCAGCAAUAUGGAGGGGUUGCUGGGAUAUCAAAUUUGUUGAAAACCAAUUUAGAGAAGGGGAUUCAUGGUGAUGAUGCUGACUUGCUAAAACGAAGGAAUGCAUUUGGUUCCAAUGAUUAUCCUCGAAAGAAAGGAAGAAGUUUCUGGAUGUUUAUGUGGGAUGCUUGCAAGGAUCUGACCUUGAUUAUUUUAAUGGUAGCUGCAGCGGCUUCAUUGGCAUUGGGGAUAAAAUCUGAGGGUAUUGAGGAAGGAUGGUAUGAUGGGGGAAGCAUUGCUUUUGCAGUUAUUCUUGUCAUUGUUGUCACAGCUAUAAGUGACUAUAAGCAGUCUCUUCAGUUUCGGAACCUGAAUGAAGAGAAGAGAAAUAUCCAUUUGGAGGUUAUCAGAGGUGGUAGAAGGAUUGAAAUCUCUAUAUAUGAGAUUGUUGUUGGUGAUGUUAUACCCCUCAAUAUUGGUAACCAGGUCCCUGCUGAUGGAAUUUUGAUCACUGGUCACUCUCUUGCAAUUGAUGAAUCAAGUAUGACUGGGGAGAGCAAAAUUGUCCAUAAAGAUUCUAAGGACCCUUUUUUGAUGUCUGGGUGUAAAGUUGCAGAUGGCAGUGGUACUAUGCUGGUAACUGGUGUUGGCGUUAAUACUGAAUGGGGGCUUCUAAUGGCAAGCAUUUCAGAAGACACUGGUGAAGAAACACCUUUGCAGGUUCGCUUAAAUGGUGUAGCCACCUUCAUCGGUAUUGUUGGUCUCUCUGUUGCUGUUGUUGUUCUGAUUGUGCUACUGGCCAGAUUUUUCUCUGGCCAUACCAGAGAUGCAAGUGGCAAUGUUCAAUUUAAAGCAGGGAAGACUAAAGUUGGUGAUGCUAUUGACGGGGCAAUUAAGAUAGUAACUGUUGCGGUCACUAUUGUAGUGGUUGCAGUACCAGAAGGGCUCCCGUUAGCAGUUACCUUAACACUGGCGUACUCAAUGAGGAAAAUGAUGGCGGAUAAAGCUUUGGUGAGGAGGCUUUCCGCUUGUGAGACAAUGGGCUCUGCAACAACCAUUUGCAGUGAUAAGACUGGCACGUUGACCAUGAAUCAGAUGACUGUGGUUGAGGCUUAUGCUGGUGGGAAGAAGAAUAAUCCUCCUGGUAACAAGUCAGAGCUCUCUCCCAAGCUCCACUCUUUGCUCAUUGAAGGUGUUGCACAGAACACUAAUGGCAGUGUUUAUGUCCCUGAGGGUGGUAACGAUGUUGAGGUUUCCGGAUCACCAACAGAAAAGGCAAUUUUACAUUGGGGAUUAGAGAUUGGGAUGAACUUCGACUCUACUAGAUCGGAAUCAUCAAUUAUUCACGUUUUCCCUUUCAAUUCUGAGAAAAAACGAGGCGGAGUUGCAGUACAAACGGCUGACUCUGAAGUUCACAUACACUGGAAAGGUGCUGCCGAGAUUGUCCUAGCCUGCUGUACACGGUACAUUGAUGCAAAUGACCAGUUGGUAGACAUGGAUGAGGAAAAGAUGGUAUUUUUCAGAAAAGCUAUUGAAGACAUGGCUGCCGAGAGUUUACGUUGUGUUGCCAUUGCGUAUAGAACAUUUGAAAAGGAGAAUGUUCCAGCCACUGAAGAAGAACGGGCUCACUGGUCUUUACCAGAAGAUAAUCUUGUUUUGUUAGCUAUUGUUGGUCUGAAGGAUCCUUGUCGACCUGGAGUCAAAGAUUCAGUGGAGCUUUGCCAAAAAUCUGGGGUUAAGGUAAAAAUGGUCACUGGUGACAAUGUCAAAACUGCAAAAGCAAUUGCUGUGGAAUGUGGAAUACUUAGUUCCCCUGCUGAAGCUACAGAGCCAAUCAUCAUUGAAGGAAAAACUUUUCGUGCCAUGACAGAUGCACAGAGAGAUGAAAUAGCUGAAGCAAUAUCAGUUAUGGGACGGUCAUCUCCUAAUGACAAAUUAUUGCUUGUGCAAGCAUUGAGGAGGAAGGGACAUGUUGUGGCUGUAACUGGGGAUGGAACAAAUGAUGCUCCUGCACUACAUGAGGCUGAUAUAGGUCUUGCAAUGGGUAUUCAAGGAACUGAAGUUGCAAAAGAAAGCUCUGAUAUUAUUAUUUUGGAUGACAAUUUUGCUUCAGUUGUAAAGGUUGUGAGAUGGGGACGUUCUGUGUAUGCAAAUAUUCAGAAAUUUAUCCAGUUUCAGCUUACAGUAAAUGUAGCUGCUCUUGUUAUAAAUGUUGUUGCUGCUGUUUCCUCUGGUGAUGUCCCACUGAAUGCAGUGCAGCUUUUGUGGGUAAAUCUUAUCAUGGAUACUUUGGGAGCACUAGCAUUGGCAACUGAACCACCAACUGAUCACCUUAUGGAUCGGCCUCCAGUGGGCCGAAGAGAACCUCUCAUAACAAAUAUUAUGUGGAGAAAUUUGCUGAUACAGGCAAUGUACCAAGUAUCUGUGUUGCUUGUUCUGAAUUUCCGAGGUAGGAGCAUACUGGGUCUGACACAUGACAAAUAUGAUCAUGCAAUUAAAGUGAAAAACACACUGAUCUUCAAUGCAUUUGUUCUGUCUCAAAUCUUUAAUGAGUUCAAUGCACGAAAGCCAGAUGAGUUUAACAUAUUCAGUGGAGUCACGAAAAACUACCUCUUCAUGGGUAUAGUGGGAUUAACUGUUGUGCUUCAGAUCAUCAUCAUUGAAUUCCUCGGCAAGUUCACUUCAACAGUCAGGCUUAAUUGGAAGCAGUGGCUGAUCUCUGUCAUCAUUGGGUUCAUAAGUUGGCCUCUUGCUGUGGUUGGUAAAUUGAUACCAGUUCCAGAUACUCCCAUCAACAACGUAUUUUCAAGAUUUCGGGGUCGAAGAAAGGAACCUGAGGCCUCACAAUAGCAACAUAUAGGCGUGCUGUUUUAAAGACGGAUCGUUCUCUUAUUGGACGAUGUACAUGCUUGGUCGUUCGUACUUGUUUUUCUUUUUUGGUUGCCCACGAUAUCUUCCAACCCGACAGGUCAAGAAGUAAUCCGUCGCGGAUCUGAGCUCCAUUUAAGGAUCUGUCGCUGGUCAAUGGGUUGCUGCAUGCAUAGGCGGGAUUCUAACUUCCGACACUUGCUGAAGCGGAUGAAUGAGCUGGCCACUCGACCAACCCAAGUUGGUUAGGUUAUUCGUACUUGUUAUUGCACGGUUCUAGUGCUUUCAGUAUCUUGCAUUGUUGUUGCGUUCACGAGUAUGGCCCAAUUUGUGACAUUAUAACAUGGCAAAAUUAUCAGUUGGUUUAAUAUAUAAACAUCAUAAAUUUUCACUCCAAUUCCAUAAGAUGAAGAUAUGUAUAUACGCAAAACUUGAUUCUGAUCUAUUGCCACAACGUAUAAUCAUCAAUUUUCUGGAACAUGUUAU